rnacentral:rRNA from 1 species
UGCCAGCCGCCGCGGUAAUACGGGGGGUGCAAGCGUUAUUCGGAAUCAUUGGGCGUAAAGAGCGCGUAGGCGGUCUUGUUAGUCAGAUGUGAAAGCCCGGGGCUCAACCCCGGAAGUGCAUUUGAUACUGCAGGACUUGAGUAUGGGAGAGGGAAGUGGAAUUCCUGGUGUAGAGGUGAAAUUCGUAGAUAUCAGGAGGAACACCGGUGGCGAAGGCGACUUCCUGGACCAAUACUGACGCUGAGGCGCGAAGGCGUGGGUAGCAAACAGGAUUAGAUA